ACGGGAGGCAGCAGUGGGGAAUCUUGCGCAAUGGGCGAAAGCCUGACGCAGCGACGCCGCGUGAGGGAAGAAGGCCUUCGGGUUGUAAACCUCUUUCAGGAGGGACGAAGCCACUCGGGUUAAUACCCCAGAGGGUGACGGUACCUCCAGAAGAAGCCCCGGCUAACUACGUGCCAGCAGCCGCGGUAAUACGUAGGGGGCAAGCGUUGUCCGGAAUCAUUGGGCGUAAAGCGCGUGUAGGCGGCCAGGUAGGUCUGCUGUGAAAACUCGAGGCUCAACUUCGAGAUGUCGGCGGAAACCAUCUGGCUAGAGUCCGGAAGAGGAGAGUAGAAUUCCUGGUGUAGCGGUGAAAUGCGCAGAUAUCAGGAGGAAUACCCGUGGCGAAAGCGGCUCUCUGGGACGGUACUGACGCUGAGACGCGAAAGCGUGGGGAGCAAACAGGAUUAGAUACCCUGGUA
rnacentral:rRNA from 1 species